rnacentral:rRNA from 1 species
AGUGAACGCUGGCGGUAGGCCUAACACAUGCAAGUCGAACGGCAGCACAGUAAGAGCUUGCUCUUACGGGUGACGAGUGGCGGACUGGUGAUGAAUACAUCUGAAUCUACUUUUUCGUGGGGUAUUACGUAGUGAAACUUACGCUAAUACCGCAUACGACCUACGGGUGAAAGCAGGGUAUCUUCGGACCUUGCGCGAUUGAAUGAGCCGAUGUCGGAUUAUCUAGUUGUCGGGGUAAAGGCCCACCAAGGCGACGAUCCGUAGCUGGUCUGAGAGGAUGAUCAGACACACGGGAACUGAGAAACGGUAGAGACACCGACGGGAGGAAGCAGUGGGGAAUAUUGGACAAUGGGCGAAAGCGUGAUCCAGCAAUACCGCGUGGGGGAAGAAGGAGUUAGGGUUGGAAAGCCAUUUUGUUGGGAAAGAAAAGAAGCAGGUUAAUACGAGGAGGUAAUGACGGUACCCAAAGAAGAAGCACCGGCUAACUUCGUG